rnacentral:rRNA from 1 species
CGGACUGCAGGCUGCAACCCGCCUGCACGAAGUUGGAAUUGCUAGUAAUCGCGGAUCAGCAUGCCGCGGUGAAUACGUUCCCGGGCUUUGUACACACCGCCCGUCACACCAUGGGAGUUGGGAAUGCCCGAAGUCAGUGACCCAACCGCAAGGAGGGAGCUGCCGAAGGCAGGCUCGAUAACUGGGGUGAAGUCGUAACAAGGUAUC